GUAAAUAUUUAUUGCGCAUGUAUUCCAGACAUGGUCUUUGUUCUCCCAGACCUCACAGUACCCUGGAGGAAACAGAAUUCCUGUGAGCCUUUAAUCGUGAAUUUCCAGGAAGAGGAUAGAGAUAUAACCUCUAAAAUAUCUGGUGUUCCUUUGGCAAGAAAUCUUUGGAGCCACAGGUUCAUCUUUCUCACGGAUGCCUAACUUGGAUACAUGAUGGCCGUUUGAAUUCUUAUUUGGAGAAAUAACCCAGCGUGCUUUUUCAGGUUUAAGAAAUACCUAACAGGUCCACAAUUCAAGCUGGGGAGGAGAAAAGGAGAAGCAUACAAUGACUAUCCA